UGCAAGUCGUACGCUUCUUUUUCCACCGGAGCUUGCUCCACCGGAAAAAGAAGAGUGGCGAACGGGUGAGUAACACGUGGGUAACCUGCCCAUCAGAAGGGGAUAACACUUGGAAACAGGUGCUAAUACCGUAUAACAAUCGAAACCGCAUGGUUUUGAUUUGAAAGGCGCUUUCGGGUGUCGCUGAUGGAUGGACCCGCGGUGCAUUAGCUAGUUGGUGAGGUAACGGCUCACCAAGGCCACGAUGCAUAGCCGACCUGAGAGGGUGAUCGGCCACAUUGGGACUGAGACACGGCCCAAACUCCUACGGGAGGCAGCAGUAGGGAAUCUUCGGCAAUGGACGAAAGUCUGACCGAGCAACGCCGCGUGAGUGAAGAAGGUUUUCGGAUCGUAAAACUCUGUUGUUAGAGAAGAACAAGGAUGAGAGUAACUGUUCAUCCCUUGACGGUAUCUAACCAGAAAGCCACGGCUAACUACGUGCCAGCAGCCGCGGUAAUACGUAGGUGGCAAGCGUUGUCCGGAUUUAUUGGGCGUAAAGCGAGCGCAGGCGGUUUCUUAAGUCUGAUGUGAAAGCCCCCGGCUCAACCGGGGAGGGUCAUUGGAAACUGGGAGACUUGAGUGCAGAAGAGGAGAGUGGAAUUCCAUGUGUAGCGGUGAAAUGCGUAGAUAUAUGGAGGAACACCAGUGGCGAAGGCGGCUCUCUGGUCUGUAACUGACGCUGAGGCUCGAAAGCGUGGGGAGCAAACAGGAUUAGAUACCCUGGUAGUCCACGCCGUAAACGAUGAGUGCUAAGUGUUGGAGGGUUUCCGCCCUUCAGUGCUGCAGCUAACGCAUUAAGCACUCCGCCUGGGGAGUACGACCGCAAGGUUGAAACUCAAAGGAAUUGACGGGGGCCCGCACAAGCGGUGGAGCAUGUGGUUUAAUUCGAAGCAACGCGAAGAACCUUACCAGGUCUUGACAUCCUUUGACCACUCUAGAGAUAGAGCUUCCCCUUCGGGGGCAAAGUGACAGGUGGUGCAUGGUUGUCGUCAGCUCGUGUCGUGAGAUGUUGGGUUAAGUCCCGCAACGAGCGCAACCCUUAUUGUUAGUUGCCAUCAUUUAGUUGGGCACUCUAGCAAGACUGCCGGUGACAAACCGGAGGAAGGUGGGGAUGACGUCAAAUCAUCAUGCCCCUUAUGACCUGGGCUACACACGUGCUACAAUGGGAAGUACAACGAGUCGCGAAGUCGCGAGGCUAAGCUAAUCUCUUAAAGCUUCUCUCAGUUCGGAUUGUAGGCUGCAACUCGCCUACAUGAAGCCGGAAUCGCUAGUAAUCGCGGAUCAGCACGCCGCGGUGAAUACGUUCCCGGGCCUUGUACACACCGCCCGUCACACCACGAGAGUUUGUAACACCCGAAGUCGGUGAGGUAACCUUUUGGAGCCAGCCGCCUAA
rnacentral:rRNA from 1 species